AUUGAACGCUGGCGGCAGGCCUAACACAUGCAAGUCGAAUGGUAACAGGAAACAGCUUGCUGUUUCGCUGACGAGUGGCGGACGGGUGAGUAAUGUCUGGGAAACUGCCUGAUGGAGGGGGAUAACUACUGGAAACGGUAGCUAAUACCGCAUAACGUCGCAAGACCAAAGAGGGGGACCUUCGGGCCUCUUGCCAUCAGAUGUGCCCAGAUGGGAUUAGCUAGUAGGUGGGGUAACGGCUCACCUAGGCGACGAUCCCUAGCUGGUCUGAGAGGAUGACCAGCCACCCUGGAACUGAGACACGGUCCAGACUCCUACGGGAGGCAGCAGUGGGGAAUAUUGCACAAUGGGCGCAAGCCUGAUGCAGCCAUGCCGCGUGUAUGAAGAAGGCCUUCGGGUUGUAAAGUACUUUCAGCGGGGAGGAAGGGAGUAAAGUUAAUACCUUUGCUCAUUGACGUUACCCGCAGAAGAAGCACCGGCUAACUCCGUG
rnacentral:rRNA from 1 species